rnacentral:rRNA from 1 species
GUAGGAGGCGAGCGUUAUCCGGAGUUACUGGGCGUAAAGCGCGUGUAGGUGGUUGGAUACGUCUGCUGUGAAAGAUCCCGGCUUAACCGGGAGGAUGCGGCGGAUACGGUUCGACUGGAGGGUGCCAGAGGAGCGUAGAAUUCCGGGUGUAGUGGUGAAAUGCGUAGAGAUCCGGAGGAAUACCAGUGGCGCAAGCGGCGCUCUGGGUGCCACCUGCCACUGAGACGCGAAGGCAUGGGGAGCGAACGGGAUUAGAAACCCCGGUAGUCCAUGCAGUAAACGAUGCCGACUGGGUGUGGGAUACGCAAGUAUUCUGUGCCGAAGCUAACGCGCUAAGUCGGCCGCCUGGGAAGUACGGUCGCAAGACUA